UACGUAGGGGGCAAGCGUUGUCCGGAUUUAUUGGGCGUAAAGGGCUCGUAGGUGGCCAACUAAGUCAGACGUGAAAUCCCUCGGCUUAACCGGGGAACUGCGUCUGAUACUGGAUGGCUUGAAUUCGGGAGAGGGAUGCAGAAUUCCAGGUGUAGCGGUGAAAUGCGUAGAUAUCUGGAGGAAUACCGGUGGCGAAGGCGGCAUCCUGGACCGACAUUGACGCUGAUGAGCGAAAGCUAGGGGAGCAAACGGG
rnacentral:rRNA from 1 species